rnacentral:rRNA from 1 species
GUCGGAGUUGCCAGUAAUCGCGGAUCAGCAUGCCGCGGUGAAUGCGGUUCCCGGGCCUUGUACACACCGCCCGUCACACCAUGGGAGUUGAUAGCACCCGAAAGUGGUGAGGUAACCGCAAGGAGCCAGCCGCCUAAGGUGAGAUCAAUGACUGGGGUGAAGUCGUAACAAGGUAUC